CCUGAGGAAAUUCAUGUGGCUUGUUGUGACUGAGUAUUGCACCUAUGAAUUUCACCUCUUAGAAUUUUUUUUACUGUCUUUUCGGCUUUGCAAGCUAUGAUAUAUUGAGGACUACAAAAACCAGGAAUUCUUCUGCAUGUUGAACAGAAAGAUUUUUCGAUAGGAAAGCGCAGGAAUCAUAAUGGUGUCCUAAGCUGCUAAAGCUGCUUCUGCAGUGAACAACUCAUCGCAGACUACUCAGAUCCCUUUUUUGAGAGCUGACUUCUGUUAACGAUGCCCGUGGCUUACUCUGUAUUUCUGGACAUGUGAGUACGUCAUUCCAGAACGGUGUCAGUGAUACCUUAUGCAGAGACAAAACAGACAAAUACCCCAGAAGGUUGGGGGGGGUAUUCCCUGCCUGGCUAUGUUCCUUUCCUCAUAAAGCCUGGACUACCUGUGUUUGCAAUGCAGAAAGCUCACAUUCGGCGAGCUUUAGAAAACACAUUUAGCCCCUGCUUACUAAAAUAUGGCCCACCAUCCUGCACAUGUUAUUGUUCUGUUCCUACAUGCAUGGCCUUGCAGGGAUUCCAAGAAAAAUGCUUCCUAAAAUACUACACAUAACUUAAACUUGGCUGUGCAUGCAAAGGAAAAGCAAUUAAGGAUAAAAAUAUUGUCUCAAAUCCAAGGAGUUUGAGACAGGAACAUUGUUAUUGUUCCCCUGAAGAAAUCGGAGUGCAUUCACAUUUAAUGUUUUCUCAGAAGCUGCUCUGAACUUUCCUAGAAAGAAUUAAGAGAGGUGGCACAACCAGUAAUUCCAAUGAUCCUUUACAUUAAAUGAACCUCUU
rnacentral:lncRNA from 7 species